GGGGGAUAACUACUGGAAACGGUGGCUAAUACCGCAUAACGUCGCAAGACCAAAGAGGGGGACCUUCGGGCCUCUUGCCAUCAGAUGUGCCCAGAUGGGAUUAGCUUGUUGGUGAGGUAACGGCUCACCAAGGCGACGAUCCCUAGCUGGUCUGAGAGGAUGACCAGCCACACUGGAACUGAGACACGGUCCAGACUCCUACGGGAGGCAGCAGUGGGGAAUAUUGCACAAUGGGCGCAAGCCUGAUGCAGCCAUGCCGCGUGUAUGAAGAAGGCCUUCGGGUUGUAAAGUACUUUCAGCGGGGAGGAAGGUGUUGUGGUUAAUAACCGCAGCAAUUGACGUUACCCGCAGAAGAAGCACCGGCUAACUCCGUGCCAGCAGCCGCGGUAAUACGGAGGGUGCAAGCGUUAAUCGGAAUUACUGGGCGUAAAGCGCACGCAGGCGGUCUGUCAAGUCGGAUGUGAAAUCCCCGGGCUCAACCUGGGAACUGCAUUCGAAACUGGCAGGCUUGAGUCUUGUAGAGGGGGGUAGAAUUCCAGGUGUAGCGGUGAAAUGCGUAGAGAUCUGGAGGAAUACCGGUGGCGAAGGCGGCCCCCUGGACAAAGACUGACGCUCAGGUGCGAAAGCGUGGGGAGCAAACAGGAUUAGAUACCCUGGUAGUCCACGCCGUAAACGAUGUCUACUUGGAGGUUGUGCCCUUGAGGCGUGGCUUCCGGAGCUAACGCGUUAAGUAGACCGCCUGGGGAGUACGGCCGCAAGGUUAAAACUCAAAUGAAUUGACGGGGGCCCGCACAAGCGGUGGAGCAUGUGGUUUAAUUCGAUGCAACGCGAAGAACCUUACCUGGUCUUGACAUCCACAGAAGAAUCCAGAGAUGGAUUUGUGCCUUCGGGAACUGUGAGACAGGUGCUGCAUGGCUGUCGUCAGCUCGUGUUGUGAAAUGUUGGGUUAAGUCCCGCAACGAGCGCAAC
rnacentral:rRNA from 1 species